rnacentral:rRNA from 1 species
UACGAAGGGGGCUAGCGUUGCUCGGAAUUACUGGGCGUAAAGCGCACGUAGGCGGCUCUUUAAGUCGGAGGUGAAAUCCUGGAGCUCAACUCCAGAACUGCCUUCGAUACUGAAGAGCUCGAGUCCGGGAGAGGUGAGUGGAACUGCGAGUGUAGAGGUGAAAUUCGUAGAUAUUCGCAAGAACACCAGUGGCGAAGGCGGCUCACUGGCCCGGUACUGACGCUGAGGUGCGAAAGCGUGGGGAGCAACAGGG